GAGCUGCCAAGUACCAUUCUCGCAACAAUACUAUCGUUAAAGGAUCGGUUUUCCUAAGAGCAUGGAUCGUUCACGAGCCGAAUUCGCUCUCUUGCAAUGCGUUUGAAUCACGAACUAGAGUCUGACUCAUUCACUGCUGAUUUUUUUAGGAUUGUUCUAACCUCUUACAAACUUCCACCGCCACUUCAAAGAAUAACAAACUCUUAG
rnacentral:rRNA from 1 species